UACGUAGGGCGCAAGCGUUGUCCGGAAUUAUUGGGCGUAAAGAGCUCGUAGGCGGUUUGUCGCGUCUGCUGUGAAAGCCCGGGGCUCAACCCCGGGUCUGCAGUGGGUACGGGCAGACUAGAGUGCAGUAGGGGGAGACUGGAAUUCCUGGUGUAGCGGUGAAAUGCGCAGAUAUCAGGAGGAACACCGAUGGCGAAGGCAGGUCUCUGGGCUGUAACUGACGCUGGAGGAGCGAAAGCGUGGGGAGCGAACAGG
rnacentral:rRNA from 1 species